rnacentral:rRNA from 1 species
UACGAAGGGGGCUAGCGUUGCUCGGAAUCACUGGGCGUAAAGGGUGCGUAGGCGGGUCUUUAAGUCAGGGGUGAAAUCCUGGAGCUCAACUCCAGAACUGCCUUUGAUACUGAGGAUCUUGAGUCCGGGAGAGGUGAGUGGAACUGCGAGUGUAGAGGUGAAAUUCGUAGAUAUUCGCAAGAACACCAGUGGCGAAGGCGGCUCACUGGCCCGGUACUCGACGCUGAGGCACGAAAGCGUGGGGAGCAA